AAUGAACGCUGGCGGCGUGGAUAAGACAUGCAAGUCGAACGGGGACACUGAUUAGUUUACUAAGAUGUGUCCCAGUGGCGGACGGGUUAGUAACACGUGAGCAACCUGCCCCGAAGCGGGGGAUAGCCUUCCGAAAGGAAGAUUAAUACCGCAUGUGGUCUCCGGACCAAAGAUGGCUUCGGCUAUCGCUUCGGGGAUGGGCUCGCGGCCUAUCAGCUUGUUGGUGAGGUAACGGCUCACCAAGGCUACGACGGGUAGCUGUUCUGAGAGGAAGAUCAGCAACACUGGAACUGAGACACGGUCCAG
rnacentral:rRNA from 1 species